rnacentral:rRNA from 1 species
GACAGAGGUGCCGAGCGUUAGGCGGAAUCACUGGGCUUAAAGCGUGUGUAGGCGGUGCGUUACGUGUCGUGUGAAAUCCCCCGGCUCAACCGGGGAAUGGCUGGGCAUACUGGCGAUCUUGAGCAGUCUAGGGGCAGAUGGAACAAGUGGUGGAGCGGUGAAAUGCGUAGAUAUCACUUGGAACGCCAAAGGUGAAGACAGUCUGCUGGGGACUUGCUGACGCUGAGACACGAAAGCCAGGGGAGCGAACGGG